GUUCAGUGAUGAAGAUACAGAUGAAGUGGAUAUGUUUUCUCACCUCUAAGUGCUGAAACCCACUGGAAGCAACAGACAUAUAAACAGAUAAUUGUAGUAACGUGUAAGUAGUGCUAUAAAGAUAUGUGAACAGAGUGAUGUGGAAACUUUAAGGAGGAGAGGAUUUUUUAUGUGAAUGUGUGCUGUUAUUCUCCCCUCUUCCUGGCAUUUCUUUCAGAAAGCUUCAUGAAAAGAAUGCAAAACAAAGAAAUUCUGAAUGUGCAUCUGGAGCUACCACACAGAGACAAGGGCUUCCCUGUACUGAGAUUGAAUAAGGUUAAAGAGAUCUCAGAAGCAUAAGAAAAACAAGUAGGGGACAAAAAGUGACAUGAUGAUGGAAAAUUAGAAGGUAAGAGUGAGAUGGAG
rnacentral:lncRNA from 1 species